rnacentral:rRNA from 1 species
UAAUACCAGCUCCCCGAGUGGUGGGGGUGAUUAUUGGGCUUAAAGCGUCCGUAGCCGGCCUGAAUUAGUCCCGCGUCAAAUCCAGCGACCUAAUCGUUGGGUUGCGGGGGGAUACGGUCAGGCUUGGGAGCGGGAGAGAUUAGCGGUAUUCCUGGGGUAGGGGUGAAAUCUUAUAAUCCUCGGAAGACCACCAAUGGCGAAGGCGGCUAAUCAGAACGCGUCCGACGGUGAGGGACGAAAGCUGGGGGAGCGAACCGGAUUAGAUACCCGGGUAGUCCCAGCCGUAAACGAUGCAGGCUAGCUGUUGAGUUGGCCACGAGCCAUCUCAGUGGCGCAGGGAAACCGUUAAGCCUGCCGCCUGGGGAGUACGAUCGCAAGAUUA